GGUGAGAGCUCGGUUAGGUUGAGCAAUAGAUUGUGAAUCUAAAGGUCGCGGGUUCGAGUCCCGUUCUUCGNCA
rnacentral:tRNA from 1 species